rnacentral:rRNA from 1 species
GACGAACGCUGGCGGCGUGCCUAAUACAUGCAAGUUGAGCGCUGAAGGUUGGUACUUGUACCGACUGGAUGAGCAGCGAACGGGUGAGUAACGCGUGGGGAAUCUGCCUUUGAGCGGGGGACAACAUUUGGAAACGAAUGCUAAUACCGCAUAAAAACUUUAAACACAAGUUUUAAGUUUGAAAGAUGCAAUUGCAUCACUCAAAGAUGAUCCCGCGUUGUAUUAGCUAGUUGGUGAGGUAAAGGCUUACCAAGGCGAUGAUACAUAGCCGACCUGAGAGGGUGAUCGGCCACAUUGGGACUGAGACACGGCCCAAACUCCUACGGGAGGCAGCAGUAGGGAAUCUUCGGCAAUGGACGAAAGUCUGACCGAGCAACGCCGCGUGAGUGAAGAAGGUUUUCGGAUCGUAAAACUCUGUUGGUAGAGAAGAACGUUGGUGAGAGUGGAAAGCUCAUCAAGUGACGGUAACUACACAGAAAGGGACGGCUAACUACGUG